UGGGGAAUCUUGCACAAUGGGCGAAAGCCUGAUGCAGCAACGCCGCGUGCGGGAAGACAGCCCUAGGGUUGUAAACCGCUUUCAGCAGGGAAGAAACUGACGGUACCUGCAGAAGAAGAUGCGGCCAACUACGUGCCAGCAGCCGCGGUGACACGUAGGCAUCAAGCGUUAUCCGGAUUUAUUGGGCGUAAAGAGCUCGUAGGCGGUUCGGUAAGUCGGGUGUGAAAAUCUCUGGGCUCAACCCAGAGAGGCCACUCGAUACUGCUGUGACUAGAGUGCGGUAGGGGAGCGGGGAAUUCCUGGUGUAGCGGUGAAAUGCGCAGAUAUCAGGAGGAACACCAGUGGCGAAGGCGCCGCUCUGGGCCGUAACUGACGCUGAGGAGC
rnacentral:rRNA from 1 species